UACGAAGGGGGCUAGCGUUGCUCGGAAUUACUGGGCGUAAAGGGCGCGUAGGCGGAUAUUUAAGUCGGGGGUGAAAGCCCGGGGCUCAACCUCGGAAUUGCCUUCGAUACUGGAUAUCUUGAGUUCGGGAGAGGUGAGUGGAAUGCCGAGUGUAGAGGUGAAAUUCGUAGAUAUUCGGCGGAACACCAGUGGCGAAGGCGACUCACUGGCCCGAUACUGACGCUGAGGCGCGAAAGCGUGGGGAGCAAAC
rnacentral:rRNA from 1 species